UAAUAAGUGUUUUAUGGCACUUUUUAAAUCCAUAUCCACCUUGUGUGCAAUGUCAGUCGGAUCUUUCGUCAAUGAAAGAUCGACCAAACAUCAACCUUUAUUCUAAUUGAACUCUUUGUCUGAAAAAUAUUAUGAAUAAACUAAUUCAAAAUA
rnacentral:misc_RNA from 1 species